rnacentral:rRNA from 1 species
GAUGAACGCUGGCGGCGUGCCUAAUACAUGCAAGUCGAGCGAACAGACGAGGAGCUUGCUCCUCUGACGUUAGCGGCGGACGGGUGAGUAACACGUGGAUAACCUACCUAUAAGACUGGGAUAACUUCGGGAAACCGGAGCUAAUACCGGAUAAUAUAUUGAACCGCAUGGUUCAAUAGUGAAAGACGGUUUUGCUGUCACUUAUAGAUGGAUCCGCGCCGCAUUAGCUAGUUGGUAGGGUAACGGCUUACCAAGGCAACGAUGCGUAGCCGACCUGAGAGGGUGAUCGGCCACCCUGGAACUGGGACACGGUCCAGACUCCUACGGGACGCAGCAGUAGGGAAUCUUCCGCAAUGGGCGAAAGCUUGACGGAGCAACGCCGCGUGAGUGAUGAAGGUCUUCGGAUCGUAAGACUCUGUUAUUAGGGAAGAACAAAUGUGUAAGUAACUGUGCACGUCUUGACGGUACCUAAUCAGAAAGCCACGGCUAACUACGUG